rnacentral:rRNA from 1 species
GAUGAACGCUGGCGGUAUGCCUAACACAUGCAAGUCGUACGAGAGUUUUUUAACUCUAGUGGCGGACGGGUGAGUAACACGUGAGAAUUUGCCUUUAGGAGGGGGACAACAAUUGGAAACGAAUGCUAAUACCCCAUAUGCUUUCGAGUGAAAUGGAUUUUAUCCGCCUAGAGAGAAGCUCGCGGCUGAUUAGCUUGUUGGUAAGGUAAGAGCUUACCAAGGCGACGAUCAGUAUCUGGUUUGAGAGGACGAUCAGACACACUGGAACUGAGACACGGUCCAGACUCCUACGGGAGGCAGCAGUGGGGAAUUUUCCGCAAUGGGCGAAAGCCUGACGGAGCAAUACCGCGUGAGGGAAGAAUGCCUAUGGGUUGUAAACCUCUUUUUCAGGGAGGAAUAAAAUGACGUGUACCUGAAGAAUAAGCAUCGGCUAACUCCGUG